AUCAUCUGCAGAAUCUGCAGCACAAUCGAUUGCUGAUGGGGAGAAAUCCACACGUACUUUGGUGAUCAGAGGGUGUGCAUGAAAACUGGAUGGCAGGACACGGAAAGAAUUGGAGUAACUGGUAUGGAAUAACUUGGAGAAAGAGACCUGGGUAAGUGCCAAGACUAGCUCAUUUCCAGACCUCUCCACAGUGCAAGAGCUGUUACUUUGGCAAGUUAGCUAAAUUGUCAAGUUUCUCUCGUGACUGUCCCUCUUUCUGAGUCCCUCUCCUACUUCCUCUAUUCAGGCUUUUACACUCUCUUCUCUUUCAGACGUCCAAAGGUCAAAUUCUGCUCACUCACAAGGUUUUCCCUACUAAAUCCAGUGAGCCAUUGGAAGGGAGAAGGUGCCAUCUCUGAACCAGGAAAUGGUCUUCACCAGACAUAAAUCUACUGGCACCAUGAUCUUGACUUCCCAGCCACCAACACUGUGAGAAAUUUCUGUUGUUUACAAGCUUUCCAGUUUAUGGUUGUC